GGGUUGUGAGGUUAAGCGACUAAGCGUACACGGUGGAUGCCCUGGCAGUCAGAGGCGAUGAAGGGCGUGCUAAUCUGCGAUAAGCGCCGGUAAGGUGAUAUGAACCGUUAUAACCGGCGAUACCCGAAUGGGGAAACCCAGUGUGAUUCGUCACACUAUCAUUACGUGAAUACAUAGCGUAAUGAAGCGAACCGGGGGAACUGAAACAUCUAAGUACCCCGAGGAAAAGAAAUCAACCGAGAUUCCCCCAGUAGCGGCGAGCGAACGGGGAGGAGCCCAGAGCCUGAAUCAGCAUGUGUGUUAGUGGAAGCGUCUGGAAAGGCGCGCGAUACAGGGUGACAGCCCCGUACACAAAAGCGCAUGUGUUGUGAGCUCGAUGAGUAGGGCGGGACACGUGGUAUCCUGUCUGAAUAUGGGGGGACCAUCCUCCAAGGCUAAAUACUCCUGACUGACCGAUAGUGAACCAGUACCGUGAGGGAAAGGCGAAAAGAACCCCGGCGAGGGGAGUGAAAAAGAACCUGAAACCGUGUACGUACAAGCAGUGGGAGCACCCUUUGGGGUGUGACUGCGUACCUUUUGUAUAAUGGGUCAGCGACUUAUAUUCUGUAGCAAGGUUAACCGAAUAGGGGAGCCGGAGGGAAACCGAGUCUUAAUUGGGCGUUAAGUUGCAGGGUAUAGACCCGAAACCCGGUGAUCUAGCCAUGGGCAGGUUGAAGGUUGGGUAACACUAACUGGAGGACCGAACCGACUAAUGUUGAAAAAUUAGCGGAUGACCUGUGGCUGGGGGUGAAAGGCCAAUCAAACCGGGAGAUAGCUGGUUCUCCCCGAAAGCUAUUUAGGUAGCGCCUCGUGAAUUCAUCUCCGGGGGUAGAGCACUGUUUCGGCUAGGGGGCCAUCCCGGCUUACCAACCCGAUGCAAACUGCGAAUACCGGAGAAUGUUAUCACGGGAGACACACGGCGGGUGCUAACGUCCGUCGUGAAGAGGGAAACAACCCAGACCGCCAGCUAAGGUCCCAAAGUCAUAGUUAAGUGGGAAACGAUGUGGGAAGGCCCAGACAGCCAGGAUGUUGGCUUAGAAGCAGCCAUCAUUUAAAGAAAGCGUAAUAGCUCACUGGUCGAGUCGGCCUGCGCGGAAGAUGUAACGGGGCUAAACCAUGCACCGAAGCUGCGGCAGCGACACU
rnacentral:rRNA from 1 species